CUUUAUUUGGUGCGGAGGCUGCUGCUGCCGCGAUGUCAGACAACUUGGAUAAGUGGAAAAUAUUUCAGGAGCUGAGCGACGACCUGAAGCGGAAUAUCAGGCUUGCAGUCGCAUUUAAUGAUAGCGCAAUUUACGUGACGAAAGAUGAUGACGUUUUCGGCUUUGGCAAAAACGAAGAAGGAUUUCUUGGCACUGGCGACAGGGAACCACGCACAGAGCACACGAAAAUUGAACAAUUGUGCGGACAAAAUAUCGAAGGGUUGCAAUUCGCACACUAUACGUUUUUCGCGAUUUCUGCUUCCGGCUCAGUUUUUGCCUGGGGAUUCAAUAAUCAUGGCCAGCUUGGACUGGGUACGAAACAAGAAACCUUGAUCCCAACCAAAAUUGAAGGAAUUCUGGCAACAAAGAGAGUUGUGCAAAUUGCCUGCAGCACUUACCAUACUCUGGCAUUAACUUCAGAUAGAGAGGUCUUUUCCUUUGGUCGUAACGAUAGCGGGCAGUUGGGACUGGGACACAAAAAAAGCCAAAACCUUCCAAUCGA